rnacentral:misc_RNA from 1 species
UUGAAUGAACUUGGUGCGGUUGCUGCUGGCCCUUUUGGGGGCAUGUGCACACUCACCAUCCUCAUCUCUCCACCUGUGCACCUCUUGUAGACUUGGAUAGACUUUCCGAGGCAACUCGGUCAGGAGGAAUGCUGCGCUCUUUGGGCAAGCUUUCUUUGUAUUUCCUGGUCUAUGUUUUUCAUAUACCCCCAUAGCAUGUAACAGAAUGUAACAUUUGGGCCCUUGUGCCUAUAAACCUUAUA